UACAGAGGUCUCAAGCGUUGUUCGGAUUCAUUGGGCGUAAAGGGUGCGUAGGCGGCGCGGUAAGUCGGGUGUGAAAUCUCGGAGCUUAACUUCGAAACUGCAUUCGAUACUGCCGUGCUCGAGGACUGGAGAGGAGACUGGAAUUUACGGUGUAGCGGUGAAAUGCGUAGAUAUCGUAAGGAAGACCAGUGGCGAAGGCGGGUCUCUGGGCCGUAACUGACGCUGAGGAGCGAAAGCAUGGGGAGCGAACAGG
rnacentral:rRNA from 1 species